UGAAGCACCGCUUGUGUGUCACUACCGGAGUCCCGCUGGUCCCGCCUCUGCCCCUUCCGUUCCUGCAGCAUCUGCGGAUAAGAUUGGCUGUAGCCUGUGUUGCUGUCACCCCAGCUGGAUUGCUUUUUUUUAAAUUCCUGGGCUGUGUUUUAAUCUACAACUGCGUCCGUGAGUGCGGGUUGCUAAGUGGCUUGCAAACUAGAGGAGCUGAGGCUUCCAGGCAGGCCGUUAGUUGUCCAUCGUGCGGUGGUGGGAUACGACACUGAGUGCAGUGUGUGUGUGUUGUGUGCUCACGUAUGCCUGUGUGCGUGUGUGUGUGAUGCACUUGCGGUAAGACCAUUUGUAAUUUUGUAGAGUUUGUUGCUAUGUAACUAGCUUACCUGCCACUGGUAAGCCUCUACUCCUCCUGUUGUUGUUAUUGUGUGUUAUUUAUGUGAUUGUGCGGCUACUAUCAGCUAUCAAGCUUUUUAAAAGUGAUUUAUAUUGGAUAAUUAAGGAAAAUAAAGUAUUUUUGUAU
rnacentral:lncRNA from 1 species